UACGGAGGGGGCUAGCGUUGUUCGGAAUUACUGGGCGUAAAGCGUACGUAGGCGGCUUUGUAAGUUAGGCGUGAAAGCCCCGGGCCUAACCUGGGAAUUGCGCUUAAGACUGGACUGCUUGAGUGCGGGAGAGGUGAGUGGAAUUCCCAGUGUAGAGGUGAAAUUCGUAGAUAUUGGGAAGAACACCAGUGGCGAAGGCGGCUCACUGGCCCGCAACUGACGCUGAGGCGCGAAAGCGUGGGGAGCAAACAGG
rnacentral:rRNA from 1 species